rnacentral:rRNA from 1 species
UGGGGAAUCUUGGACAAUGGGCGCAAGCCUGAUCCAGCCAUGCCGCGUGGAUGAUGAAGGCCCUAGGGUUGUAAAAUCCUUUCGUUGGGGACGAUAAUGACGGUACCCAAAGAAGAAGCUCCGGCUAACUUCGUGCCAGCAGCCGCGGUAAUACGAAGGGGGCUAGCGUUGUUCGGAUUUACUGGGCGUAAAGCGCGUGUAGGCGGGUCGUUAAGUUGGGGGUGAAAUCCCGGAGCUCAACUCCGGAACUGCCUCCAAAACUGGCGACCUGGAGCAAGAUAGAGGCGAGUGGAAUUCCGAGUGUAGAGGUGAAAUUCGUAGAUAUUCGGAGGAACACCAGUGGCGAAGGCGACUCGCUGGAUCUUUGCUGACGCUGAGACGCGAAAGCGUGGGGAGCAAACAGG